UGAUGGAUAUGCAAGGGUGGCCUCU
rnacentral:piRNA from 1 species